UACGUAGGCAGCGAGCGUUGUUCGGAGUUACUGGGCGUAAAGAGUGCGUAGGCGGUUUUCUAAGUUUGGUGUGAAAUCUCCCGGCUCAACUGGGAGGGUGCGCCGAAGACUGGAAGGCUUGAGUAUGGGAGAGGUAAGCGGAAUUCCUGGUGUAGCGGUGAAAUGCGUAGAUAUCAGGAGGAACACCUGCGGUGUAGACGGCUUACUGGACCAUAACUGACGCUGAGGAGCGAAAGCCAGGGGAGCAAACGGG
rnacentral:rRNA from 1 species